rnacentral:rRNA from 2 species
AAUACCCGAUCCCAUUCCGAACUCGGAAGUCAAGCCCUUCAGCGCCGAUGGUACUUUGUCUUAAGGCACGGGAGAGUAGGACAUUGCCAGGC